GGAGCUACCAUGCAGUCGAACGGUAACAGGAAGCAGCUUGCUGCUUCGCUGACGAGUGGCGGACGGGUGAGUAAUGUCUGGGAAACUGCCUGAUGGAGGGGGAUAACUACUGGAAACGGUAGCUAAUACCGCAUAACGUCGCAAGACCAAAGAGGGGGACCUUCGGGCCUCUUGCCAUCGGAUGUGCCCAGAUGGGAUUAGCUUGUUGGUGGGGUAACGGCUCACCUAGGCGACGAUCCCUAGCUGGUCUGAGAGGAUGACCAGCCACACUGGAACUGAGACACGGUCCAGACUCCUACGGGAGGCAGCAGUGGGGAAUAUUGCACAAUGGGCGCAAGCCUGAUGCAGCCAUGCCGCGUGUAUGAAGAAGGCCUUCGGGUUGUAAAGUACUUUCAGCGGGGAGGAAGGGAGUAAAGUUAAUACCUUUGCUCAUUGACGUUACCCGCAGAAGAAGCACCGGCUAACU
rnacentral:rRNA from 1 species